AUGAAACAGUUACACAAAAUGUAAAAGUGAAGAAUAUAACCAUCUGAGAUUGACUUCCAUUUGAAUCCUAAACACAAUUUACCUUAAUAAUAUAUAAGAAACCAACAGCAGAUA